CCUCCAAGCAAAGAACCAAAAGCCCUGGUUAGCACUGAGCCUAUGAUCCUUCCCUCGCUUUCUGCUGGAUUGAUUGCUAGAAAGGUUGUGCAGCUGCAUGGCAGCCCAGCACCCCAUCUGGUUGGCCAUACCUCUGCAUUUCUGUUCUCUGAAACAGUGUAUCUGACCUGAUUCACCCUGCAAAACCCAGAGUUUGCUUUAAUCCAAGCUGGCUGCGUGCUGCCUGCUGUCAGCAGCCCUUUUGUGCCUCCACGGGUGUUUGCUGGUUCAGGGUUGAGUGACUCAGCCUGCACCCCUACCCUGAGCACCGGAGAGCUGGGAGGGACUGCAGAGUGCCUGGCUGCAGGUCUCGUCCUUCCCUUUUCUCAUUUCAGCAAAACCGUUGCAAAUUUCACGGAGCUUUCCAUCACAGACAAACAAAGAGGAAAUUGAUUCAGAGCGAGAGCAUUAACAUCACCAAAUGGUAAAGGCAUUGCCUAAUGCUAUCAAACACGCUUCCUCUACUGCAGAAGCAGAGGUGGGCAGAGUGAUGCUAAGGAAGGGGAGAGUGGCUGGGUGAGGGCAGGGAUCCUUGGCAAAGAAAACCCAGAGGGUAAAGGGCAAAAAGAACAAAGGGAGAGGUGUUGGGGAAAUAUGACUGAGCAGAUGCAGUACUUAUCUGCUUACACUUCAAAUGAAAAUCCUAUAUGUACACAAAAAGCAAUGAGUAACAUCAGGUGAAGGGCCAACCUGUGGGAAGGAGUUGUGCUGGUGUAAUAAAAGGGCCAGUGUUAAACCGUUUCAGUUAGAGCCCUGUGCACGUGGGCUGCUGGUGGAAGAAAAAGACGUGCCUUUAUGGCUUCCAAGGAAGCAUGGUAAACACUGGGGCUUCCUGGUGCAAAGUGCUGAUCCGUAUGAUAGUAAACUUCCAUUUAUUCAAACCUUGGUGACGAGUCAGCACUGUACUGGCUGCCUUUAUGUAGGCAAGGUCUGUCUUCCAACAGGUGUUUUAAUGCCAGCAAAACAACAACAACAACAAAACAUGUGGAGCCAGAAUGAGCACACGGUACAUCAUUUUGGUUCUUCCAAUAGAAACGUAAGUGGGAAUUCACAAAUAAUCCUGAUUAGUCUUAUCCUGGGUGCUGCUGCUGUGUAAUUUUCACUUACAUCAAGUCUAUUUUAGUUUAAUUGCCUAUUAAAAUACAUGUCAAUGCAAAAGUUUCUAGCUCUUCAGCACCAAUGUAAGUCAUUUUCCAGAGCAAUGCAAAUGCCAAGAGGAAUGGUUCCCACCAGCCUCAGAGCGCUGACACGCUCUCUCAGCAAGCACCUGCCCUGGCCUCAGGCACUGCAGAAUGGCUUUUGAUCACCAGAGAUCAAGAAUAUUUCCACCCAUACAAGGAGCUUCCAAUGACUCAAAGAGCAAUCACUGGACAACAUAUCAAACUCCAGCUUCUAGACAAAGAAGAGAGAUCGGACUGUCUGCAAGAAUACGAGCUACUGUUGUAUCAUCAUGGCUCUUUGGUAAUAUUUUCUUCUAAUGGUGUGAUAUUGGCUGCAUAGAGAGGAGUAAGUUAUAAAGUUGUACUAAAGUGAUUAUUUGGAGUGUUAAAACUAGGUCAACAAUUCCUUUACAAACCAUCCCAGCUUCUGGGCAAACAUCCCUGGAAGCUUCAGGAGUUCUCUUUGGUCCUAGCUGCCCCAUAAAGAAACAUUAUUUAUGCUGAAUUAAUUAGCUGCCACUUAAGCCUGGCGCCAAGAGUUGAUGUCAUGAAGCAAAACAAAAUGGAGCUAAUGAAAUCAAUAACAUCAUUAAAAUAACUCACAGCAGAGUUACUGACUGCCGUGCUGCUCACAGACCAAUUGCUCAUCAUGUAAAGGGACUUCUGCAAGAACACGUUCAGGCUAUGAAUGGCAGCCCAAAGCCAACUUGACAUCGCUCUGCUCAGGUGCCCAAGGAGUCAGAGAGCAAGCAGCUUAAUUUCAAUUCCUGGAAAAUGCUGGAAGUGGAAAUCGGUUAAGCUGUUCUCCAGCACCUAGAUGACGGCAAGCGGAUGAAGA